UACAGAGGUCCCAAGCGUUGUUCGGAUUCACUGGGCGUAAAGGGUGCGUAGGUGGUGAGGUAAGUCGGAUGUGAAAGCUCCGAGCUCAACUCGGAAAUGGCAUUGGAAAACUACCUUGCUAGAGGGUUUGAGGGGGGACUGGGAUACUUGGUGUAGCAGUGAAAUGCGUAGAUAUCAAGUGGAACACCAGUGGCGAAGGCGAGUCCCUGGAAAACUCCUGACACUGAGGCACGAAAGCUAGGGGAGCAACAG
rnacentral:rRNA from 1 species